GACACCCACCUUGCGCGUGACGUUGCGCACGUAGGGGCAGGUAGUGCAAGCGAAGCGGUGGCAGCGGGCGCCCUCCUCGGCUACCAGCACGUUCCCGCAGGCCGGGCAGAAGAGCAGCAUCUCGGCGCGCCUCGGACGUCCGACUGCCUCCGCCUAGGGGCCACUUCCGGUUCCGGCCGCGCGAGGAUCCGGCCACGACGAUGAUGAUGGAGGAGGAGGAGGAGGAGGAGGAGGCGCACGCGGAGGCGGUGGCCCGCUGGCAGGCCGGCCUGGCGCUACUCGUCAGGGACCCGCUCCUCUGUGACCUCCCGGCGCAGGUGACCCCGGAGGAGAUCUGCUCGCAGGUGGCGCUAGAGUACGGCCAGGCGAUGACGGUGCGCGUGCGCAGGCUCGACGUCCCAGAGGCGCCCAUGCCCGUGGUGGUGGUUCAGAGCGCGAGCGUGCUGGAGCUCAAGAAGGCGCUGCGGCGGUUCGUGCAGCUGCGGCAGGAGCGCCAGGGUGGCGCGCGGCACAUCAGCUGCAGGAGGCACGUCUGGCGGACCUACAGUCUGACCUUCGGCGGAGAGAAGCUGGCGGACGACCGCAAGAAGCUGCGGGAGUGAGUGGCGUCGCGGGUUGGGAGGCUGGCCGUGGAAGGUGCCGACGGACUUUGUGCCUUCUGGGGAAGGGUCAGUCCCCCCCCCCCAUCGUCUCCAGUGACCGAAAAUCCACAUUUGAAAAAGUGCUGGAUCUUUUUCUGAAGAUAUCAAUGAAUACAAAGCAAGUAAUUGCCAGCCAGUAACAUUAAAACUUCUUAAAUUAUAA